CACUCUUAUGACAUCGGUACUAAUGAAUUGAAUUGAAAUAACUAAUCCAAGAUAGAUGAAAGUCUUGAAGUUACAACUACUUUCUCAAGUAUAUUCAUAAUGAGGGAGUCUCCUUCAAAUUGAGUUUCUUUCUUUUCAAGUCCAACUCAAAACUAACAUGGUGUAGCAGGGGAAGUUGCUUUGACUUCAAGUGGUGGAUUGAAGAAGCUAUCUUUAUUAAUUGAUAACUAUGAAGAGGUUGCACUAGUAAAUCAUCUAUACCAACUCUCUUACUUGAUAUUCUUGCAAUUUCCAUUUUCUUUCAUGCUCAUUUCUUGCCACAUUAAUGCCAGAUAUUUACUCAAACUCUCUAAGUGCAUCAUGAAAAUACAAUUCUGGUCAAUCUUAGGAUCUCAACAAAAUGGACCUAUCUACACAAUGCAGUUGGACCAUUCCACGAAUGUAGAAGAAAAUUUGGAAGCCAGGCAGGGGAAAACAACAUUCCACCACUACUUUUCAAGAUUUUGCACGCCAAUUUUUCUGGAGAUGUAUCUUCUAUUUAAUUCAAGAAUCCAAAUUCGCUAGUUAUCCUAAUUGAUAACUCUUUUUAGACGUUCAUUGUGUUUGUUGAAAUUCUUCCCAUCAUCUUCCCACCAACUAUGUUCAGUUGUAGAUUGUUUGUGUUGGACUUUUGCAAUGCAACCAUGUAGAUUUGAUCAUAUCCCUGCUACUUGCUCGUUCAAUUUAACUCUGAUGAUGUGCAACCAUGAUAAAGAAGGAAAUAGAUCAUAUGUAUCUACAUGAAUAUCAUUUUGAUUUUAAAGUUGAACUCUUGAAAAUUGCAAAUUUUUUCUCUCCAAACAGUCUUAACUAAUCGUGUAAUCAUGCAAGAGGCUCAGUGACGUGUCUAUUGGGAGCUCGUCGUUGAAUUUUAUUGAGAAUAUGACAUCUUUAACUAACUUGUAAGACCAUAUGAUCUCAUCAUAUGCAGUAAUACUAAUCUGUUAGAUCUUUUGUUUUUUCUUUUUUCAUCCAUGCCUCGGAAACUUAAAAUAAGAUACUCAUACAUUUUUGAUUUGUGCUUUUCUCUACAGGGUCCUAAGAAACAAUAUGCCUUCUGGUACUAUUCCAUCCACCAUUGGAAAACACCUAUUAUUGAUGCAGAUUCUAUGUGACGGGAGUCGACCCCACUGCCUUUAAUGUUUAUGGAAAAGGGUCUUUAGUAAUAUCAUGAUUCCUGUUGGGUUUCUGGAAUACGGGUUUUAAUGUUGAUAUGAUGGAGUACAAGAAUAUUAGCUUCACUGUUUAGGAUGUCAGGGGUCAGGACAAGAUCAGACCGUUAUGGAGGCACUAUUUCCAAAACACACAGGGACUCAUUUUUGUUGUUGACAGCAAUGACAAAGACCGUGUAGUUAAGGCGAGGGAUGAACUCCCAGGAUGCUGAAUGAGUUAAAUUUUCUUCAAAAAAG